AAAAACCUGUUAAGGUAGAUAAGAAAAUAAAAAAUUAUUAUUUUUAAAUGAAAUUAAAUUUUUUGAAAAUAAAUAUUUACCAAAGACGAUCCUCGACAAAAAUUGGCCGUGGUGCAGGAAUUCCUAAACUGGAAUAAUAUUGUUGGGCCAAGAGCUCCACAUCAUUUGUGUAUUUUCUUUUCCAUUUUGUACGUCUAUUUUGAAACCAAAUUUUAAUCUGUGAACACAAGAAUUGGUAUAAAAAUAUAUUAACAAAUACAAAAUGUUUUAGCAAAUAAUAUCCAUUUGUAGUGUUAAAUUUAACGAGUAAAGUGAAGGAGAUCUACAUGAAAAAAUUGUAAAUAUGAUAAUAAUAAGAGGAUCAAGAGGAUAAGAUAAGCUACAAUGUAUAAUAUAUCAAGAUUAUAGCUAAAUAAUAGUUUCUUCCGAUUGAAAUCAAAAAUUAUUUGCCCCGGGUGAGGAUCGAACUCACGACCUUAAGAUUAUGAGACUUACGCGCUGCCUACUGCGCUACCGAGGCGCUUGCAAAGCUCUACUCCGAUGCAUAUGAAAUUAAUAUCACGAACCCAAGGAACAGAAGAUUAAAUAUUUCACACGAAGCCUGAGAAAAAGAUAAAACACGUGAAGCAAUGCAGGGAAAAAAUGAUGUCAGCAUCUUGGACACAAUUUCUACAGAAUUUUCUGAAGGGGAACUCCUAAACCGGAUUCAGAACGUUCAAAGCAGUAAUAUAUCCUAAUUAAAAAAUCGACGCCUCUUCGGUCCGUCGCCUCGAAGCAUCCGUUGUCCCGAGAUGCUUCGUUCUUAUGGCAUGCUGGAAACACAAGCACGAAUCGGAGCACGCAGCAGAG